UGGGGAAUUUUGGACAAUGGGCGAAAGCCUGAUCCAGCCAUGCCGCGUGCAGGAUGAAGGCCUUCGGGUUGUAAACUGCUUUUGUACGGAACGAAAAGACUCUGGUUAAUACCUGGGGUCCAUGACGGUACCGUAAGAAUAAGCACCGGCUAACUACGUGCCAGCAGCCGCGGUAAUACGUAGGGUGCAAGCGUUAAUCGGAAUUACUGGGCGUAAAGCGUGCGCAGGCGGUUAUAUAAAGACAGAUGUGAAAAUCCCCGGGCUCAACCUGGGAACUGCAUUUGUGACUGUAUAGCUAGAGUACGGCAGAGGGGGAUGGAAUCCGCGUGUAGCAGUGAAAUGCGUAGAUAUGCGGAGGAACACCGAUGGCGAAGGCAAUCCCCUGGGCCUGUACUGACGCUCAUGCACGAAAGCGUGGGGAGCAAAACAGGAUUAGAUACCCUGGUAGUCCACGCCCUAAAACGAUGUCAACUGGUUGUUGGGUCUUCACUGACUCAGUAAACGAAGCUAACGCGUGAAGUUGACCGCCUGGGGAGUACGGCCGCAAGGUUGAAACUU
rnacentral:rRNA from 1 species